GACGAACGCUGGCGGCGUGCUUAACACAUGCAAGUCGAACGGAAAGGCCCUGCUUUUGUGGGGUGCUCGAGUGGCGAACGGGUGAGUAACACGUGAGUAACCUGCCCUUGACUUUGGGAUAACUUCAGGAAACUGGGGCUCAUACCGGAUAGGAGCUCCUGCUGCAUGGUGGGGGUUGGAAAGUUUCGGCGGUUGGGUAUGGACUCGCGGCUUAUCAGCUUGUUGGUGGGGUAGUGGCUUACCAAGGCUUUGACGGGUAGCCGGCCUGAGAGGGUGACCGGCCACAUUGGGACUGAGAUACGGCCCAGACUCCUACGGGAGGCAGCAGUGGGGAAUAUUGCACAAUGGGCGGAAGCCUGAUGCAGCAACGCCGCGUGCGGGAUGACGGCCUUCGGGUUGUAAACCGCUUUCGCCUGUGACGAAGCGUGAGUGACGGUAAUGGGUAAAGAAGCACCGGCUAACUACGUG
rnacentral:rRNA from 1 species